rnacentral:rRNA from 1 species
GAUUAACGCUGGCGGCGUGCAUAACACAUGCAAGUCGAACGAUGAAACUUUAAUGAACCCUUCGGGGAGAAUUAAAGCGGAUUAGUGGCGAACGGGUGAGUAACGCGUGAGUAACCUGCCUUACACAAGGGGAUAGCCUUUGGAAACGAAGAAUAAUACCCUAUAAAACCAUAAAAGCACAUGCAAUUAUGGUCAAAGUGAUAGCGGUGUAAGAUGGACUUGCGUCUGAUUAGCUAGUUGGUGAGAUAAAAGCCCACCAAGGCAACGAUCAGUAGCCGGCUUGAGAGAGUGUACGGCCCCAUUGGGACUGAGACACGGCCCAGACUCCUACGGGAGGCAGCAAUGGGGAAUUUUGCACAAUGGGGGAAACCCUGAUGCAGCGACGCCGCGUGAUUUAGAAGGCCUUCGGGUUGUAAAAAUCUUUUGUAUAGGAAGAAAAUGACAGUACUAUACGAAUAAGGUCCGGCUAAUUACGUG